rnacentral:tRNA from 1 species
CGGAUUGUAGUUCAGCCUGGUAGAACGCUUCGUUCGGGUCGAAGAGGUCGCUGGUUCGAGUCCAGUCAAUCCGACCA